UGGGCAGAAGCCUGGGCGGCGUGCUUAACCAUGCAAGUCGACGGAAAGGCCCUGCUUUUGUGGGGUGCUGAGAGGCGAACGGGUGAGUAACACGUGAGUAACCUGCCCUUGAUUUUGGGAUAACUUCAGGAAACUGGGGCUAAUACCGGAUAGGAGCUCCUGCUGCAUGGUGGGGGUUGGAAAGUUUCGGCGGUUGGGGAUGGACUCGCGGCUUAUCAGCUUGUUGGUGGGGUAGUGGCUUACCAAGGCUUUGACGGGUAGCCGGCCUGAGAGGGUGACCGGCCACAUUGGGACUGAGAUACGGCCCAGACUCCUACGGGAGGCAGCAGUGGGGAAUAUUGCACAAUGGGCGGAAGCCUGAUGCAGCAACGCCGCGUGCGGGAUGACGGCCUUCGGGUUGUAAACCGCUUUCGCCUGUGACGAAGCGUGAGUGACGGUAAUGGGUAAAGAAGCACCGGCUAACUACGUGCCAGCAGCCGCGGUGAUACGUAGGGUGCGAGCGUUGUCCGGAUUUAUUGGGCGUAAAGGGCUCGUAGGUGGUUGAUCGCGUCGGAAGUGUAAUCUUGGGGCUUAACCCUGAGCGUGCUUUCGAUACGGGUUGACUUGAGGAAGGUAGGGGAGAAUGGAAUUCCUGGUGGAGCGGUGGAAUGCGCAGAUAUCAGGAGGAACACCAGUGGCGAAGGCGGUUCUCUGGGCCUUUCCUGACGCUGAGGAGCGAAAGCGUGGGGAGCGAACAGGCUUAGAUACCCUGGUAGUCCACGCUGUAAACGGUGGGUACUAGGUGUGGGGUCCAUUCCACGGGUUCCGUGCCGUAGCUAACGCUUUAAGUACCCCGCCGGGGGAGUACGGCCGCAAGGCUAAAACUCAAUGAUUGACGGA
rnacentral:rRNA from 1 species